CAGUGCCAUUGCUUGAGUGUCCAAUAAUUUUGGAAGAGUUAUAUUGUCCAAAAACUGAUCAAUUUCUUUUUUAGAUGGGUUUAUUUGUGGUGAAUACAACGUUUUAUAGAAAUCCCUGAAAAUGUUGUUUAUUUGUAUCGGUUCAUAUAAUGUGUUCCCAGAUGAAUCUUGAACAGCACAUAUAGUUGUUUUUUCUUUAUUUAUUUUUAGCUGGUUUGCUAGAAAUUGACCAGAUUUAUUACCAUGUUCGUAAUUUUGUAGGCGUAGUCUUUGUACUAAGAAUUUUGUUUUUUUUUUUAUCAAUUAUCUCAUUUAAUUCUAGUUUUGUUUUGCGUAUUUUGUUCAAUGUUUCCUGAUCUUGGUGGGACGCGUAGGCUUCUUCUAGUGAUUUGAUGUUUUUUUCUAAUUCCUGAAUAUUUUUGUUUUCUUUUUUCUUUUUAUGUGAUGAGAAAGAAAUUAUUUUACCUCUCAUCACAGCUUUCCCUGCUUCCCAUAGAACAGAAGCUGAUGUUUCGGGAGUGUCAUUAUAGUCCAAAUAUGAAGUCCACUCUUUUUUAAAAUAUUUAAUAAAGUCUUCAUCCUUAAGUAGUGAUAUAUUAAAUCUCCAGUUUUUUCUUGGCGUAGUAUUAUUCUUGUGCAUUAGUGUUAAAGAUACAGGACCAUGAUCGCUGACAGCUAUAGGGUGAAUCUCAGUGUCUGAAAUGUCGUUCAGCAGUGAGCUGCUGACCAAAAAAUAAUCCAGACGAGAGUAGGAGUGAUGGACAUGUGAGAAAAAAGUAUAUUCCUUACUGGUGGGGGAAUUGUGAUGGUCUAGGGCUGUUUUGCUGGAUCCAGGGUCGGUGACUUGUACAGAGUUGAGAGGUCCCCUGAACGGCUACCGCAGCAUUCUGCAGCACCAUGCAAUACCCUCUGACAUGUCCCUAGUUGGUCAAUGGUUCAUCCUACAGCAAGAUUAUGACCCAAAACACAAGUCAAAGCUAUACCAGAACUACCUCAGGAAAAAAGCUUGAAAACAGUGGCCAGCACAGUCUCUAAACCCCAUUGAGCUGGUUUGGGAUGAACUAGACAGAAGAGUGAAAGCAAAGCAACCUGCAAGUACCACACAUUUAUAGGAACUUCUGCAACAGAUAUGGGAAGAACUUUCUGGAGAAUAUUUGAUUUCUAUUGUAGAAAGAUUACCAUU
ensembl:lncRNA